ensembl:lncRNA
CAGUUUAAGAAAUUCAAGUAUCAUCAAAAGUCCACCACAACUGGACCCAGAACAGGACGAGACAGCGAGAGAUCAGGAACGAGGACUGCCCCAGGUCUGGACCGGGCCUACUCCGGGGCUAGAGUCUGGACCAGGGCCGCCCUUGGACUAGGGUCUGGACUGGGACUAGACCAGGACUAGACCGGGUCCGGAUCAGGACUGGAUCACGUCUAAACCAGGACUGAACCAGGAUCAGGGGCAGUCCUAAACGGUUCCCAUGGACUCAAAAUGGCCGCCUGGCUCUGUCUCUGUGGAAACGCAUUAAACCACAUGCACAUUUACACAACGCCCCCUGGAGGUCUGGACUCAAGUCACUUUGGACAUAAAUAAAAUAUUAAACACACGUCCUGCAUCUGAAAAGUUCCUGGGUCUCACUAAACAUUUCCUCUUUUUUAACAUCCAAAUAUUUAACUUUUUUUUUUUAUUUAAUCUGUUUUCGAGCUCACAACACUGUUCCACCUUGUGAUGUCAUCAGAUGGUACUCCAGAAGCGCUUCAUUAACAUUAGGCUAAAUCUCAGCAAAUGUUUUUAGCCUGACUCAGACUGUUCCACUCCUUAGUCACCAGCAGAGGGGAGUAGUGGCACAUUUUCUUCAUUUUUUACUGAUGUUUCAGCAGUGCUCACAGUGUUUUUAAAAUCAAAAUGUUUCAUAUUUUACUUCUAAGGGGUAUUAUGGGAAAACAACAUAUUAACAUGUUUUAUAAGUCUCACUUUUGUUUUUGAUGCUCCGAGUCUCCCCUCCCUUUGCUCUCUGUGCAAAGUCACUCCCCCUUCAGAGCGCUAUCACAACACCCGCAAUAUCCCACCAAUGAAACUACCGCACAUCACAUCAGGUUUGUCAAGUUGCUGUAUAGUUUGUGUCAUGUUUUUGUACAUUUAUGGAGAAUUGUUGUGUGGGAGCAUGGGUGACAGGUUUGUGGGCAGAGUCUUGUACAGGUUCCUAGGGCUAACUGUAAAGAGGGUUCAAAUAGGGCUCAAGAGAGAUCUCUAGAUUACUCAAACAUGCAUGGAUGACCUCUAAUAGCUCUUCAGACAUGUUUUUGAUAACAGAACAAACUUUAAAAAAAAACUAUUUUACAGAAUACCCACUCUUUAACAGGGCUGAAUGUGAGACCUAGGGGCAUCAUGAACCAUGUCAGCUGUAAACAGGGGGCAGUUUCUCCUCCCUUAGGGGCUGGACUUUGUUAACUCAAAGUAGGAUAAAUCCCAGUGUUUUAAACCAGUUCCACCAACUGUAAAAAGUCUGGAGCUGAAAACACCUUGACUAUUCAUUUCAAAAGCAGUCAGGAGCACGGCUGAAACGUCUCUACACUGACCUCUCCUGGACAAUGAGGGAUUACACCGCCUCGUUUAAAUAUUAGUAUUUGUGAAUCAUAACAUUUAGUGCAUUGGUCUCAUUCAAAUGUAUUCAAAACGUGCUGAUCUUUUGAGUCAAUUCUCAUUACAUUUUAGUUUCAGGAUGCAGCCAUUUUGUUUCAUAUUUUCAUCUUUUUUAAAAACAUGUUGCAUUAUUUAUUUCAUUCAUAACACAUGUGCAGCUCAAGAGAAUUUUUGACUUGACAAAAGUGCUCAUUUAAAUGUGUUAAAUACCGCUUUAUCUUUUUCAUUUUCUUUCAGUAACGUCACAAAAACAUGCAAAGUGUGUGCAUAACCGUAACACAUGCUGUUUUCAAAAGGUUAAUAUUUGUGACCAAAACAAAUUCGAAACUUGGAAGUGAAUUUUUUGCACAGAUGAGACCCUCAAAGCCUGACACAAGACGCAGGUGAAACUCACACCUGUUCUCAAGGGGUUUUUUUUUAGUUUGUUUUUUGGAGCAGCAGCGGUUGAGUCCAGACCUCUCUAAAACUACGAGGUAAAACGGUCCAAAACAAAGUCCAAAAUCUAAAAAAAUAACUGUCUAAAACUCAAAAUAUCCAAAGACAUUCACACUUUCCUCUCAGUCACUCAAUAAAUAAAACUAACACUGGAACAGGACCCGAGCCAGGUCUACAGAGGGAGCAGGGACUAGUUUAGACCGGGUCUAGACCGCAACUCAACUGAAACAAGGCAGUGACCUAAAGCAGUGACCAAACUAGGUCUAAACCAAGUCUAACCCAGAACAAAUCGAGGACUAAACCAUGAACUGAACCAGGACUGGAUUAACCUGGGAUGAACCCAGGUCUAAACCCAGGUCUAAACCCAGGUCUAAACCCAGGUCUAAACUCUCUGACAAUAAGUCUCUUAAUAGAAACCAGGUCUAAGGCCAGGUCUAAGGCCAGGU